UUUUUUUUUUUUUUUUUUUUUUUUUUUUACCAAGAGAACCAGGAGAUGGGAAUAAAUGAAUUAAGCCAAGUUUGUUUUAUUUGAGAGUUAUGUUAUCUGUGGAGUUUGUUGUAUGUGAGAAUUAUCUGUGAAGAAUUUUAUGUCAAUUAUGUCACAACAAAGCUACUGAGUAAAAGAGAGAGAGGACCAAGGUAGCUGGAGCCCCACCCAGAACCCAUCACAAGACAGCCUGAGACAAGUAAGGACUAAGGAGCAACACAAUGGUUAACCUACAAGAACGUUUGCAGUUUAGGAUAGAACACAUUCAGGAUUUAUGUAUGACUGAAAUUGGAGGAGAUAUUCAGAAGUCACUGUUUCAAAAGAGAAAAAAAGCCACGGAGAGUUAUAGGAAGGCACUGUAG
rnacentral:lncRNA from 1 species